CAAAAAUGUAUACUUCUGUAAAAUAGCUGUUGAAUGUUUUAAGAAUGCUUCUCUAAAGUACUGAAAAUCUUGUUCAUUUGGUUUGAAAGGAUUUUAGUAUUUUCCAUGUUUAAGAUUACCUUUUUAUUAUGCUUUGAAGCAUUCAUGGAGGAGCUGUUCUCUCCUGAGCUGUUUAAUUAUCUGACCUGGAACAAUUCAUGUUUCAAACAAAUGUCUCAGGAAUUAUUCCUUCAGUAUAAAAUUAAACACUUUAAAGCAGGAAAUUAAGCCAAGGAAAGACGUGGGGUAAGAAAUGUUCUCUCCCAAGCUUUGUAAGCCUUGUUAUGGUGCUUUAAAAUGAACUAUUUAAGGACUGCAACAUCUAAGAAACCACUUGUGAAUUUAUUAUAUAUCUAAAAAUAAUGUUCUCAGAUGUAACAUUCACCUGGUGGAAUGGACCACCCUAAUCUCAAAGUACAGUGAUAACACAAUCAGACAGCUCUUGAAAGUCAAAAGAACUUUCAGACUAAUAGCCGUAUAACCAAGGUUCCAAUGUAAGUGUCUAAAACUAAUGUCACUGCAAAUUGUCAUUGCAAAUCCUUUGGCCUUCCAAGUUGUGGGAGUAGAAGAGGAGUGAAACAGAUUAGCUACUUCUAUUUCAGCUGCAUUUCACACAGCAGUGGUAGGUGGUAUUAUGUUGAUAGCAUUAGCCCAGCAAGAAACUACAUAAGCAAUAUACAUCUGACAUUUGAGUUAUUUUAUUUGUGGUACUUAAUGGUUUUAUAUUCCCAACUCUCAAUUUUUAGAGUAAUGAAUGGAAUUUUUUUCUUUCUUUCCAGAAACCUAUUUUAAGCCUCGGAUUAUGAACCACUGUAGGUUAGUGGUCUUCAACUGAAGAAGAGUUACCUAACUCAAAAAAUAAGUUUUGUG
rnacentral:lncRNA from 10 species